rnacentral:rRNA from 1 species
ACGCUCGACACCUACGGGAGGCAGCAGUGGGGAAUAUUGCACAAUGGGGGAAACCCUGAUGCAGCGACGCCGCGUGGAGGAAGAAGGUCUUCGGAUUGUAAACUCCUGUUGUUGGGGAAAAAGAGGAUGGUACCCAACAAGGAAGUGACGGCUAACUAUGUGCUAGCAGCCGCGGUAAUCUGAGCGGGCUGGCAAGGC